UGAGAUAGAGUUAGAGAAAGCUAAGUGGUAAAUGGGCACACUGUGGGUGUGUAACUUCCCGAACUGCACCACACUUGCUUGUAGCAACUGCAACUUCUCUCUAACGCACCACCACCAACUUCUCCAACCUUCUCUCCCUCUUAGGCAGUUCCACGUACAAGCUUCUCAGACCAAAAACAACAACACAAGGACAAGGAUAAGGAAAAGUCGAAGGCUCAAAAGCGACGCCGAGAUCUGCAACGAUAUCCGCCAAUUCCUCGCUUCCGUUGGCCUCCCGGAGCACCACAUUCCCUCCACCAAGGAGCUUUUGCACCACGGAUGGAAUGACCUGGCAAACAUUGUGAGACGAAGAGGACACAAACAGAUUCACGAGCUUCUCACGAGCUCAUUAAAUGCUGAGACUGAUUCUCCGAACACAGAAAAAGGUUUAGGUGAAAGACUGCACUCUGCAAAUGAUUGUGAAGGUCAGAAUGAGAAGUCGGACAGUUUGGUCGGUGAUGAUGUCGCGGCGGCAACGGAAUCUCUUCCUGGAAACAGUUCUGGUGGUUUGUGUAUUGACUCAACUCUGAGAUUAGAUGAAUGCAGUUCCGUUGUAGGAUCGUCGGGUGAUUCGUCCGCGGAAGAUGGUUUGGGUGAACUCAAAGAUCAUGCUGAAGAGAUCAACAAUGUGGCAGAGGGGAAUGAUUGCAGUAGUUCAAGGGAAGGUCUUUCUCCCAACUUUGAUAGCCAGAGUUCCAUUAUGCCUACAGAAAUUUCUGGUGAAUCAUCAAAUUCGGAGUGUGAGGAUAGUUUAGUGGGCAGAAUUGUUGGAGAGAUAAUAACCUUGCCAUUGGCAGUUCCUUCCAACACCUCAUUUAAUGAUUCUGAUCUUGACGCUGGAGAUAAAGAGUUCAGUCAUUCCGAACCAUCUAAUGAUUUGUCCUUGGAGCAAAAGGACUGGUGUCCAUUAGAAGGUCUAGAUGACAGCAAUAACAAUAUUGCUGAAGAUGUUCCCUCAACAUCUGAAGUUUCCAUUAGGGAAAACUUAUCUGGUGACAACAAAGUUGAUUCAAUUGUCUAUUCUGCUGACAGUAGUUGUAUAAAUCUUGACGCUCCAGCCAACUUGUCUUUGGAGGAAAAAGUUGCAAAUUUUAUUCAGAAUGGAGAUUUAGAUCCAGUUGAAGAUCAUGUCUCUGGCAUUUCGAAUGGGGAUGAGUCUCAGGAAAGCAAAUCGUAUAUUGAAUCAGAACCUGUUGUUGAUAUGCCACUAGGCGCUCAUCCACCUAAAGAUAAAAAUGUCACGACACUUAAUGGGAACUCACUGACAUCCAAGCGAGUUGUUCCAUCUGGAACAUUGGAUCAGCCUCUUUGGGAUGAUCACAUGCCACAUGAGGAUCUAACUACUAAAUUCGACAAGGAUUUUAAUGCUGAGGUCAUUUUACAUGCUCCAAAAGUGCAAAAUCAAAGUGAGAUAAACCAUCUCAAGUUCAUGCUGUAUCAGAAGGAGUUGGAGCUCUGUCGGCUGAAAGAACAGAUUGAGAAGGAAAAGCUUGCUUUGUCUGUCUUGCAAACCAAGGCAGAGGCAGAAAUCAGCAAAGCCAGAAAACUUAUAUCUGAUAAAGAUGCAGAGUUGCACGUUGCUGAAGAAAGUCUUUCAGGACUCAAGGAGGUUCAGAUUGAGUUUUGUUGUGAUGGUGAUGUUGUGGAGGUGGCAGGUAGCUUCAAUGGUUGGCAUCACCGAAUAAAAAUGGAUCCUCAACCAUCAACUAGUGCUAUAGACCUUGGUGGAUCAAGGAGAUCCAGGUUUUGGUCAACGAUGCUGUGGCUUUAUCCUGGUGUAUAUGAGAUCAAAUUUGUUGUUGAUGGCCACUGGAGAACAGAUCCUCAAAGGGAGUCAGUAACAAGGGGCCACAUAUGUAACAACAUUCUAAGAGUAGACAGAUGAUGCAUUCUGGUUCAGAUCAUAAUUGCUAGAUGUAUAUGAAAAGGUUUCAAUCGAUAAUUGAAGAUUCUGGAUGUGCAACAUCCUAAGAUUAGAUAGGGUACAUAAAAAUGAAGACAAUGGUUUGCUUGGGAAUUUCUAAAUUAUCACGUUUGACAGCAAAAUGGACAAGAGGGGACACAAGCAUGGAAGAAUGAGCAGAAUUUAGAUCGAGUGUCUUUUAAUACUAUCCAGCAUGUACAUUUAGGUCUCUCAGAUUAAUUUUGAAAACAUGACAUCAUCCUGGACUCUGCAAAGAUCAGUUAAGAAUUAGGAGAAAAUAAACCAUUCGGGAUGGGCUAAUAGUGGGGGAUUUUGGUAGUUCGGAAGAGGUUAUAGGUUGAAACUUUCAUUGUAUCAAUCAAUUAGGAGAAAAUAGAAGUUUCUUUUUUUUAUUCCUCAUCUCUUCAUUCUGUUGUUCUUUGGCGGUUUUCAAAGCCACCCACAAGAACCAGGACAAAAUUCAUUUUGCUGAGCUCUGUAAAUUUAACAAGUGAUAUAUGAUGACUGCGUGACUGCGUUUUCAAGUAAGCACGAAAAAAGCUAGCCACUCGAAGCAAAAUUAUUAUCUGGAAAAAGUUGUGGGGGCAUACCUGAAUUUAUAUGGACUUUUGUUAUCACUCAAGCUCACAAGUGGGAGGACCUCAUGGCAAGUAGCACGUUGAACCUCUUGUCUUUGGACAGAUUUGUGGAGUGCUUUUGAAAACAAAAAUAUAAAAAAUAGGCUAAUUGCCAGAAUUGCGGAAACUUUUCGUUAAUAAUCCGCAGCAUAGUUGUAUGAAUGGGAUUGGUCUGGCGAGAAUCCUUUCCUUGGUUUUUGAUUGAUGUUGCAAAUGUGAAUAUGUACUUUGUAACUUAUUUCAUAAAUGGAGAACAAGUAAU